GCAGGCUGCAACUCGCCUGCGUCAAGUUGGAAUUGCUAGUAAUCGCGGAUCAGCAUGCCGCGGUGAAUACGUUCCCGGGCCUUGUACACACCGCCCGUCACACCAUGAGAGUCGGGAACACCCGAAGUCCGUAGUCUAACCGCAAGGAGGGCGCGGCCGAAGGUGGGUUCGAUAAUUGUGGUGAAGUCGUAACAAGGUAUC
rnacentral:rRNA from 1 species